rnacentral:rRNA from 1 species
GACGAACGCUGGCGGCGUGCUUAACACAUGCAAGUCGAACGGAAAGGCCCUGCUUUUGUGGGGUGCUCGAGUGGCGAACGGGUGAGUAACACGUGAGUAACCUGCCCUUGACUUUGGGAUAACUUCAGGAAACUGGGGAUAAUACCGGAUAGGAGCUCCUGCUGCAUGGUGGGGGUUGGAAAGUUUCGGCGGUUGGGGAUGGACUCGAGGCUUAUCAGCUUGUUGGUGGGGUAGUGGCUUACCAAGGGUUUGACGGGUAGCCGGCCUGAGAGGGUGGCCGGCCACAUUGGUACUGAGAUACGGCCCAGACUCCUACGGGAGGCAGCAGUGGAGAGUAUUGCGCAAUGGGCGGAAGCCUGAUGCAGCAACGCCGCGUGCGGGAUGACGGCCUUCGGGUUGUAAACCUCUUUCGCCUGUGACGAAGCGUGAGUGACGGUAAUGGGUAAAAAAGCACCGGCUAACUACGUG